rnacentral:misc_RNA from 1 species
GAUGAAGAACGCAGCGAAAUGCGAUACUUGGUGUGAAUUGCAGAAUCCCGUGAACCAUCGAGUCUUUGAACGCAAGUUGCGCCUCAAGCCAUUAGGUUGAGGGCACGUCUGCCUGGGCGUCACAUAUCGUUGCCUGAUGCCAGUUUCCUCGUGAUGGGUGACUGUGCAGGGCGAAUGAUGGCUUCCCGUGAGCAUUGUUGCCUCAUGGUUGGUUGAAAAUUGAGUCCUUGGUAGGGAGCGCCGUGAUAGAUGGUGGUUGAGUGACGAACGAGACCGAUCAUGUGCAUGCUCCCCAAAAUAUGGCCUCUGUGACCCACACGCGUCUUUUGACGCUCAUGACGAGACCUCAGGUCAGGCGGGGCUACCCGCUGAAUUUAAGCAUAUCAAUAAGCGGAGGA